AUUGAACGCUGGCGGCAGGCCUAACACAUGCAAGUCGAACGAGUGGCGGACGGGUGAGUAAUGUCUGGGAAACUGCCCGAUGGAGGGGGAUAACUACUGGAAACGGUAGCUAAUACCGCAUACCAUCGGAUGUGCCCAGAUGGGAUUAGCUAGUAGGUGGGGUAACGGCUCACCUAGGCGACGAUCCCUAGCUGGUCUGAGAGGAUGACCAGCCACGCGGGAACUGAGACACGGUCCAAAAUCCUACGGGAGGGAGCAGUGGGGAAUAUUGCACAGUGGGCGCAAGCCUGAUGCAGCGAUGCCGCGUGUAUGAAGAAGGAAUUCGGGUUUUAAAGUACUUUCGGCGUGGAGGCGUUACUCGCAGAAGAUGCACCGGCUGACGCCGUGCCAGCAGCCGCGGUAAUUC
rnacentral:rRNA from 1 species